rnacentral:rRNA from 1 species
CAGAGACCCCGAGCAUUAUCCGGAUUUAUUGGGCGUAAAGCGUUCGUAGGCGGUUUUGUAAGUCAUUUGUUAAAUCUUCAGGCCCAACCUGGAGGCUGCGGGUGAUACUGCAAGACUCGAGUGUGGGAGAGGCAGAUGGAAUGCCCGGUGUAGCGGUAAAAUGCGUUAAUAUCGGGUAGAACACCAAAGGCGAAAGCAAUCUGCUGGAACACAACUGACGCUCAUGAACGAAAGCGUGGGUAGCGAAAGGGAUUAGAUACCCCUGUAGUCCACGCCGUAAACGAUGAUAACUAGAUUUUGGGAGUAUCGACCCUCCCAGAGUCGACAAAACAAGCUAACGCGUUAAGUUAUCCGCCUGGGAAGUACGGUCGCAAGACUA